AGGCCAAGCUCCCUGCAGCAUCUGCCCUGCAUUUGAAGUAGAGCUUUUGUGAGCAUGGGAACUCUUAGCACAAAGAGCAUCUGUAACAAGCACGGGCUGCCCGCUUUUUGUUUCUCCUUUCAGUUCACCCUUUUACACUGCCCUUUCCCUUCCCUCUGCUUAGAGCCUUUCUCAGGGCAGAUUGAGCCUCAAACAGAGAAAGAAGGCAUCCCAGCCUCACAGGUUCUGCUUGCCCUGUACCGGCACCAUAAAGAAUACUUUUCUCCAUCCUGUGAAGGGGCAGGCCCUGUGCUCUGCAGAAUUUCCAUUGCCUUCAGUGUGGUCCGGGGGAACGGAGUGUAUAUUCCUGGAGUGUUACGGGUGCCCACUCCAUAGGUGCUCUCUCAGUGCAAAGGACUGCACGAGUCCACACACUGAUUUAACUGAUGUGAUUUAAUUGCCUACCAAUCACUUAAACUUUCCUACAGAAAUGACAUUUAUCAUGUCUGCAAGUUUAAUGCCUCCCCAUCUUCCAUUUUCAGAGGGAAGAGGUUUAAGGUAUAAUGUGGAGAGGAUCCUUUCUGUGAGUUAUACUCAGUUGUAUGUUCCAAGGAAGAGGGUUUUAAGAGGAGUGCCAUGCCUGCUGGAUUAAUGCUAGACAAGUGUCUUGUGACCAGGGGCAGCACCUGAGAUUUUGUUGAGCGAUCUACUGCCGAGCUGUGGAUCUCAUAGAUACGUGAGACCUGAGUACUGGAACUCUCGUGCUAAUGACUCUUUGAAGUUUCAGGACAAAGGCACUAUUAUUUAAGUGUCCUAGUUGGCUUCUUUGUUGCUGUGAUAAAACACUGAACAAAGGCAACUUUGGGAGGAAAGAUUUUGUUUCAGCUUAUACUGUCAGUCUUCAAGGAAAUCCAGGAAACUCAGAGACAGGAACUGUCACAGAGGCCAUGGUUGAGUGCUGCUUACUGGGUAUGGCUUGUUCAGCCUGCUGUGUUAUAUAACCCAGAACCACCUGCCCAGGACCUAAAGUGGGAUGGCCCCUAUUACACCAAUCAUUAAUCAAGAAAAUGUCCUACUGCCUAGCCUACAGGCCAAGCGAAAGGAAGCAAUUUCUUAACUGAUGUAUUUUUUUCUAGGUGACUUUGGUUUAUGUCAUGUUAAAAAAAAAAAAAACAAAAAAAAAACCUAAGCAACAUACUAUAAUACACUGCUUCAUGUGUCCUCCCUCCAAGCCAUAUCCUGUUGUUGUCUUUGUGUUCUCUUCUUCCCUUCCCCCCCCCCCCACCUUUUCUCCCCCUCUCCUUCUGUCCUCUUCACAAUGGAGCACAGUACAUUAUCAGUUACAACGUUCAUAUCAAAUAGCUUGUCACCAGUAGUUACUAUGCAUGGCAGACAAUGGAUAAUAUAAUUUUAAAAAAAUGAUCCAAUAUGCCACAUUUUAUUAUUGAGAUAAACUUUAAGGGAGGAAAAAAAAACGUGAUGUUUCUUGUUUUUGUUUUUAUUUUCUCUAUUGCAGCUGGGUUGAAUUCAAGGCUUCAUAGACGCAAGUCAAGUGCUCUACCACUGACCAAGACCCUCAAAGUCAAGUGUUGAAAUUUGUUAACCUGCUAACAAUCAUACAUACCCUACAGCAUAUUUGUUCUUAAACCAUGGCACCCAGAAACAUGAUGUCAUUGCAUAAACUUAAUGUAGACACGGACUAAUUGUAACACCCUGAGGGCACUACUGACAUUCUGGGAACAUUGACUCCAAGAUGUGGGAAUCAUAUGGUACUUUUGUGAUAUGGGAUCAUAUGGUAUUUCAAAGGAGGUCUCUAGACCCUGCCUACAAAAUGCCAGUGGCGCUUUUGAGUCAAUGUAGCAAUUAAAAUGACCCAAGAUGUUUUCAGCACUCUGCAGAGUGUCAGUCUGUCCUCAACUGCUUUUAGUCUAUCCUUCUCAAUGGCCACCAAAGUCCCUGACUCCAUCCACUUUCUUACUUUUUCUUUCAUCCACCUUGUCCCAUCGUUCCCAUGUCUUUCUGGACUAGGAAGAAAACUAUUAUGCCUCUGGAUAACAUUAGUUAUCUAGGAUCACUAAGGACAUUCUGUAGUGUUGUAUGUUCCAUAUAGACUCAUAACAGUAUAGUUAUGAUUUAUUUACUUUUGUCAUUACUUUUGGGAGCAGUAAGGACAUUAUUUAUCACAUUGAGCAAUACUUAUUUAAGUUGUAGCAUGUGCCCUAAAAAUGCUUGGUGCUUGACACAGUUGCUCUAGGCAUCUGUCCCUGUUAUUGAUGAUCGAAUGAUCAAGGAAUAAUUUGGGAAUCUUGCUAAUUCUCACUUACAUACACUUUCAAAAGAAGCCAGAACAUUGACAGAAGCCCUUUGGGAUAUUAGAUAUUCCAGGGUGCUAGGAAGCAAGUCUCUGACAGAGAACAAGGGAAUAAGGGGCCAACAAAUACUUUUAGACCAAUAAGAAAUGUUCUUUCUGUCCUCUGCCAUCCUGUCUGAGGAUGCCCUGACAGUCCAUUCUCCAUGAAGAAACUUAGCAUUACAAUUGCACUAUACUCCCACCAUGUCCACAAAAGUUUAUAUUGAACCCCUUAGCCAUAUUUUACAAAAUAUAACCUGAUUCGAAAAUAAGGCUUUAAAUGAGUUAAUCAAGUUAAGAUUGGGUCACUAAGGUUGUCCAUAAUUCCUUAUGGUGUACCUGUAUAUAAAGGAUGAAUUCGGACACAGACACACUCACAAGAGAAAAGAGGCAAGCGGAGUACCAUGUGAGAACAAGGAACUGAAACAGGGUAUCAGUAGAAAGAAAGUCAGGAAACCCCUCAGACGCUAACACAAGCUGAGUCUCCUGUGGGUUUCUGAGGGAGCAUAGCUCUUAAAAUACCUUGAUUUUAGGUAACUAGCACCCAGAUCUAUGAAGAAAUAAAUUUGUUUAAAGACAUCAGUUGGUGGCGCGUUGUUACGCAUGCUCUGGAAGCAUAAUGUUUGGAAUGAAAGGUGUGACCAGCUCCUCGUUUGCACAGCUUUCUGUGCCUCUUAUGUCACAGCUAAGACUCGACAUGGCUGCCGUACCUAUCCUACCUGACUCAGGGUUGGGAACUGCUUCUUUCAACCAGCCAACUGCACGAAUGGAGAGAACUCAAGGGUCUUACCUGGGUGUGGAAAAGAUUGAUUCUUUCUGUGGCUUCUAGGAGCUCCUUUUCGGCCAGCUUUCUCCCGCGCUCUGUCUGCUCCUGCAAGGUCCUCAGCUCUUCAAGUUCAGACUGAAGAAGAACGGUGCGCUGCUCAGCCAGAGCCACCUGUUCCUUCAGGUCUUUGUUCUGGUAAAUGCUGUCAUCCAGUUGUUGGUGAAGAUCCUACAAGAGAAAACAUGGGCCUGGGGCAUGGAUACCUCUUAGUUCAACUGUUAGCAUGGCAGGGGGAUGACCACCAUACAAAGACAAGUUUCCAAGUUCUCCAUCUCAGAGAUAAAAGAUUUUCUAAGUAACCCUGGAAGGCAGCUCUAGGAUAGUUUACUGAAAUCCAAGUGUCUUGAACAACAGGGCAGAAAGCUGUUCAUCUCAGCAACCACCAACAGGACUGGGAUAUAAAAAAAAGGCCAAGAAGCUAAACUCUCUGUGUUAGAAGUCAGACAGCAGGCAGGACCAGCACAGCAUCCAAGCAACUGUCCUGAAGGGUAGAGCUUUGGGGAUGUGUAUUGCAUGGUUCACUAAGGAGUCAGUUAUUUCUCCUUAGUUUGUUUCUAACUUUUAUUAAUUUCUUCUAGCCUAGUGGCUUUGGUUGGGCCUUAGGUUAUACAAACGCAAUCUUCUUUAGUACAGGAGAGCAUUUACUUUCAAGGAAGUCUGUUUGACAAAAAAAUCCCCUGCUGUUGGCCUCAAACACUGCUACCCAACCUAUUGUUUCCACCAAGAGGAAGCUCUGAAUGGAACUGUCAUCCUGACAUACCCCAAAUGGUGACUUGGAAGUAGAUGGCUGCCAAGGCUCUGUCCAUUCCAUUUUCUUAUUUAAUGACCUGCUCACAAAUUCAGAUGUGUCCCUGUGCCUGCAUCAUUGUGGCAUGACUUCACUUAUUUUCAGAUAAGCAUGUUCCCUCUCUGGAAGGGUGAAAUUUGUGGUUUUCUCUUUCACUGUUCAGUAGAUUCUGCUACUUAGCUUAUGACUAUCUUGGUCCUUUAGUAUUGUUGCAAAGUACCUUCAUUUGACCCUGAAGCUGGCCCAAGGCUCUGGUCAUCUGUGACACCUGCCGGUUGGCAGCACAAAGCUGGAUCUCCAUUUCCUUGAGGUCCCCUUCCAUCUUCUUCCUCAGUCUGGUGGCCUCAAUUCUGCUGGAAGCUUCCAAAUCCAAAUUAGACUGCAGGGACCCCAUAGCUUGCUGAUGCUUCUCCCUGAUUUCAGAGUAACACGUGUGGAGAACAUCACACACCCAAAUUAGGAACAGGUAUCUCUUAUUUUCAAGUUAUGGGAAGCACAUUAAAAUUAAAAAUAACUCUCAGAGGUUAAAAACAAAUGAGUUUAAAGGGUUUUCAUCUUAUAAACAGAAAUGUUGGCAUUAGAUUGAUGAGUCUGUUCUCAUUAUAACAGACUAAUAAGGCUUCGAGGUUAGAUUCGACAUAGAAUUAUAAAAACACUAGAAUUAUUUCAAGGGUCCUGUGUUAGCUUUGUCUAAGACUCAUUAAAAGAUUGUUCUGGGUAGUUUUAUGUCAGCUUUACACAAAGUAGAAUAGAAGAGAGAACCUCAAUUGAGAAAAUGCCACCACCAGAUUGGCCUAGGGGCAAGGUGUGAGGCAUUUCCUUUUAUUAUUGACAGUUGAUAUGAGAAAGCACUGCUCACUGUUGGUGGUGUCACCCUUUGGCUAGUGGUUCUGGUUGGUAUAAGAAAGCAGGCUGAGAAAGCCAUGAGGAGAAAGCUAGCAAGUAGCAUCCCUCCAUAGUUUUAACUAUAAUCCCUGUCCUGAGUUCUUACCCCUACUUUCUUCAGUGAUAGUCUUAGAAGCUGUAAGGUGAACUAAAUCUUUUCUUCCCCAAGUUGCUUUGGUCAUGAAGUUCUAUCAUAGCAAUAGCAAUCCUAACCAAGACAAGACAAGGAUGAUAAAUUCUAGAUUACCUUGGAAGUCUACAGAGGAAGAAUAUAUGUUCUUUUAGAUAACCAUAAUAUUUAAACUACUUCCAAAUG
rnacentral:lncRNA from 1 species